rnacentral:rRNA from 1 species
UGGGGAAUCUUCCGCAAUGGACGAAAGUCUGACGGAGCAACGCCGCGUGAGUGAAGAAGGUUUUCGGAUCGUAAAACUCUGUCUUUUGGGGCGAACGUGAGUAUGGUGAGCAAUCAUAGUCAGUGACGGUACCAAAGGAGGAAGCCACGGCUAACUACGUGCCAGCAGCCGCGGUAAUACGUAGGUGGCAAGCGUUGUCCGGAAUUAUUGGGCGUAAAGAGCGCGUAGGCGGGAUAGUCAGUCUGUUGUAAAGUGCGGGCUCAACCCCGUGAUGGCAAUGGAAACAGCUAUUCUUGAGUGCAGGAGAGGAAAGUGGAAUUUCCAGUGUAGCGGUGAAAUGCGUAGAUAUUGGGAGGAACACCAGUGGCGAAGGCGACUUUCUGGACUGUGUCUGACGCUGAGGCGCGAAAGCCAGGGGAGCGAACGGGAUUAGAUACCCCGGUAGUCCUGGCCGUAAACGAUGGGUACUAGGUGUGGGAGGUAUCGACCCCCUUCCGUGCCGGAGUUAACGCAAUAAGUACCCCCGCCUGGGGAGUACGGUCGCAAGACUGAAACUCAAAUGAAUUGAC